GCUUGAUAGACAGCACGCACAGUAUUUUUCUCUCUCUCUCUCUCUCUCUCUACAUUUUUUUUUAAUUCUUCUCUCUCUAUGAAAGGGUAAAGUUAUGUUUGUAUUGGUGUUGUUAUGAUGAGAGAGAGAGAGAGAGAGAGAGAGAGAGAGACGUUAGUGAUUCAUUAUUAAU
rnacentral:miRNA from 1 species